GACGAACGCUGGCGGCGUGCUUAACACAUGCAAGUCGAACGGAAAGGCCCUGCUUGCAGGGUACUCGAGUGGCGAACGGGUGAGUAACACGUGGGUGAUCUGCCCUGCACUUCGGGAUAAGCCUGGGAAACUGGGUCUAAUACCGGAUAGGAGCCAUUUUUAGUGUGAUGGUUGGAAAGUUUUUUCGGUGUAGGAUGAGCUCGCGGCCUAUCAGCUUGUUGGUGGGGUAAUGGCCUACCAAGGCGGCGACGGGUAGCCGGCCUGAGAGGGUGGACGGCCACAUUGGGACUGAGAUACGGCCCAGACUCCUACGGGAGGCAGCAGUGGGGAAUAUUGCACAAUGGGCGCAA
rnacentral:rRNA from 1 species